AAAGUGCUGACCAGGAGUGCAUUUUAGGACCAUGCUCGCUGAAAUGUUGCAAAUUGGUUACGCACGUAGUUGGAAAAGGAAAUAGUUGCCCCUUAACCAUUUUAAAUGAUGGCAAUCGUCUAAUCCGCCUGAAGAAAGGUACACCUAUUGAUUACAUAGAAUAAUUUGACGAUGUAGUGGGUACGGCAGAUGCAAACGCGAUAAGUGACGUAAGACGUGGCAUUGAAGAGACACGAGACAAGGUGCCCUC
rnacentral:lncRNA from 1 species